rnacentral:rRNA from 1 species
GACGAACCGUGCAAACGUUAUUCGGAAUCACUGGGCAUAAAGGGCGCGUAGGCGGCUCGAAAAGUCAGGGGUGAAAUCCGGCAGCUUAACUGUCGCAGUGCCUUUGAUACUGUCGAGCUCGAGGGAGGUAGGGGUCUGUGGAACUUCCGGUGGAGCGGUGAAAUGCGUUGAUAUCGGAAGGAACGCCGGUGGCGAAAGCGACGGACUGGAUCUCUUCUGACGCUGAGGCGCGAAAGCUAGGGGAGCAAAC